GGGCCAAUAAGUCAGAGGUGAAAGGCCACGGCUCAACCGUGGGACUGCCUUUGAUACUGUUGGUCUUGAGUUAUAGUGGGGUUGCCGGAACAUGUGGUGUAGCGGUGAAAUGCAUAGAUAUCACAUAGAACACCGAUCGCGAAGGCAGGUGGCCAACUAUAUACUGACGCUGAUGGACGAAAGCGUGGGGAGCGAACGGGAUUAGACACCCCGGUAGUCCACGCCGUAAACGAUGGAUACUAGCUGUGGGGACUUCGGUCUCCGUGGCCAAGCGAAAGUGAUAAGUAUCCCACCUGGGGAGUACGUUCGCAAGAAUGAAACUCAAAGGAAUUGACGGGGGCCCGCACAAGCGGUGGAGCAUGUGGUUUAAUUCGAUGAUACGCGAGGAACCUUACCAGGGCUUAAAUGCAGUAUGACAGAUUCAGAGAUGGAUUUUUCUUCGGACAUAUUGCAAGGUGCUGCAUGGUUGUCGUCAGCUCGUGCCGUGAGGUGUCAGGUUAAGUCCUAUAACGAGCGCAACCCCUGCCGUUAGUUGCCAGCAUGUAAAGAUGGGGACUCUAACGGGACUGCCGGUGCAAACCGUGAGGAAGGUGGGGACGACGUCAAAUCAUCACGGCCCUUACGUCCUGGGCUACACACGUGCUACAAUGGCCGGUACAGAGGGAAGCCA
rnacentral:rRNA from 1 species